GGCGCGCGAUACAGGGUGACAGCCCCGUACACAAAAAUGCACAUGCUGUGAGCUCGAUGAGUAGGGCGGGACACGUGGUAUCCUGUCUGAAUAUGGGGGGACCAUCCUCCAAGGCUAAAUACUCCUGACUGACCGAUAGUGAACCAGUACCGUGAGGGAAAGGCGAAAAGAACCCCGGCGAGGGGAGUGAAAAAGAACCUGAAACCGUGUACGUACAAGCAGUGGGAGCACAGAGCAAUCUGUGUGACUGCGUACCUUUUGUAUAAUGGGUCAGCGACUUAUAUUCUGUAGCAAGGUUAACCGAAUAGGGGAGCCGAAGGGAAACCGAGUCUUAACUGGGCGUUAAGUUGCAGGGUAUAGACCCGAAACCCGGUGAUCUAGCCAUGGGCAGGUUGAAGGUUGGGUAACACUAACUGGAGGACCGAACCGACUAAUGUUGAAAAAUUAGCGGAUGACUUGUGGCUGGGGGUGAAAGGCCAAUCAAACCGGGAGAUAGCUGGUUCUCCCCGAAAGCUAUUUAGGUAGCGCCUCGUGAAUUCAUCUCCGGGGGUAGAGCACUGUUUCGGCAAGGGGGUCAUCCCGACUUACCAACCCGAUGCAAACUGCGAAUACCGGAGAAUGUUAUCACGGGAGACACACGGCGGGUGCUAACGUCCGUCGUGAAGAGGGAAACAACCCAGACCGCCAGCUAAGGUCCCAAAGUCAUGGUUAAGUGGGAAACGAUGUGGGAAGGCCCAGACAGCCAGGAUGUUGGCUUAGAAGCAGCCAUCAUUUAAAGAAAGCGUAAUAGCUCACUGGUCGAGUCGGCCUGCGCGGAAGAUGUAACGGGGCUAAACCAUGCACCGAAGCUGCGGCAGCGACACUAUGUGUUGUUGGGUAGGGGAGCGUUCUGUAAGCCUGUGAAGGUGUGCUGUGAGGCAUGCUGGAGGUAUCAGAAGUGCGAAUGCUGACAUAAGUAACGAUAAAGCGGGUGAAAAGCCCGCUCGCCGGAAGACCAAGGGUUCCUGUCCAACGUUAAUCGGGGCAGGGUGAGUCGACCCCUAAGGCGAGGCCGAAAGGCGUAGUCGAUGGGAAACAGGUUAAUAUUCCUGUACUUGGUGUUACUGCGAAGGGGGGACGGAGAAGGCUAUGUUGGCCGGGCGACGGUUGUCCCGGUUUAAGCGUGUAGGCUGGUUUUCCAGGCAAAUCCGGAAAAUCAAGGCUGAGGCGUGAUGACGAGGCACUACGGUGCUGAAGCAACAAAUGCCCUGCUUCCAGGAAAAGCCUCUAAGCAUCAGGUAACAUCAAAUCGUACCCCAAACCGACACAGGUGGUCAGGUAGAGAAUACCAAGGCGCUUGAGAGAACUCGGGUGAAGGAACUAGGCAAAAUGGUGCCGUAACUUCGGGAGAAGGCACGCUGAUAUGUAGGUGAAGCGACUUGCUCGUGGAGCUGAAAUCAGUCGAAGAUACCAGCUGGCUGCAACUGUUUAUUAAAAACACAGCACUGUGCAAACACGAAAGUGGACGUAUACGGUGUGACGCCUGCCCGGUGC
rnacentral:rRNA from 1 species